rnacentral:rRNA from 1 species
UACGGAGGGUGCAAGCGUAGUUCGGAAUUACUGGGCGUAAAGGGCGCGUAGGCGGCUUGUCGGGUCUGAUGUGAAAGCCCGGGGCUCAACCCCGGAAGUGCAUUGGAAACUGGCAAGCUUGAGUUCGGAAGAGGAGGGCAGAAUUCCCGGUGUAGGGGUGGAAUCCGUAGAUAUCGGGAGGAAAAUCAGUGGCGAAGGCGGCCCUCUGGUACGAAACUGACGCUGAGGCGCGAAAGCGUGGGGAGCAAACAGGAUUAGAUACCCUAGUA